GGGAGGCUGGGUCUAGCCGCUCCAGUCCCAGAGGGGCAGAUUUGCAGCGCGGGCCUCGCGGAUGCGAACUGGCUCAGCGAGCGCAAGUGGCACACGCACAGCCAGCAGCCGCGCGUGGGCUCUGGCCUCGCGCUAGCUGCAAGUCGCGGGCUGAACCUGCUGGAGCUCGGCCAGGCCCACGGUCCUGCACGGGCGGGCGCCUCUCGGGGCCGAGCGCCUCCCCUCGGCCCUCGCUUCCGCCCGAGACCCGGCGGCUGCCCUGAUCCUGCCGAAAGGGGGCAGCAGCCGGCGACGUACAGGAACAGCGCCCUGCUGGCCCUGGUGAUCGGGCUACCCUGAAGGUUUAGGGUGGAAAGCCAGACCUACAGUCUCGAGGUGCACAGCAGCAGCUGCACAACCUUGACCUUGCGACCUUGGGUUUCCUUGAGCCAGGAAUGGGCCAAGCCAUCUAUGCACCUACCAGCGCCUGUAAACUUAGCGUACAGCAAAAAUUCAGAGAAGUACUUGGGAACUUCUGAUCCGGGAGUCCUUGGAUCACCGUGGGAAGGAUCCCGAGGCAUUUCGAAAGUGGAAACUGGGCGGAUGAAGCCAGUUCUGCCCGGGAGCAAGCGCAGCAAAGCGUCGGUGGUGCAGCCGGUUCCGGAGCUCGGAGCUGGGGCAGCGCCGAUUGGUUUCGACCCAGACACAUUGCUAGGGCGCUGGAUCUUCCUGUAACCUCCCGCGUUUGGGGAGGACUUCAAGGCUGAGAUAUCCUACUUCAUCAUCUUGCUGAUGUCCCAUCUGACCUUUCAUUAGAAAGAGUGACCCCAUAUCCCAAUCCUGUUUGGAUUGUUCCAGUUUAUACCUUCUGACCUAUGACAGUUAUAAUAGGUAAAAUAAUAUCCCUUAGUGAAGUCCCUGGAAACUGUAAGUUUGUUACUUUAUUUACAGUUUACUUACAGUAAAAGGGAUCACACAAUUCUGAUAGAAAUAAGGAUUGUAAACUAAGGAGGUUAUGUGGGAUUAUCUGAGUGGGUUAGUGUAAUCACCAGAAUGCUUUUGAAAAAAGCAAUAGGAGAUGUGAUAAUGGCAACAUGAGAUUAGAAUGACAGAAGAAGCCACAAGCCAAAUUAUGCAGGCAGCACCAGAAGCCAAAAAAAGCAAAGGAACAGAUUCUCACUUCAGAACCUUCAGAAAAAGUAGCCCUACAGAUACCAUGACUUGGGUCAGUGAGACUGAUUUAGACUUUUGACCUUUACAACUGUAACAUAAUACUUUUUUAUUGUUUUAAGUUUCUAUAAUGUUGUGGUAAUUUGUUUAAGCAGAAAUAGGUAACUGAUGCAGUAACUAGUCAUACUGAGCCCAAUUAUACUCUCAAAAAUAGCCUGGUUUGGUGAUAAAAUAGAUCUUAACUCUAUGCACAAACCAUAGCAUCACAAAUCCAUAGUCCUGUCAAGAUCAUUUUGGGAAAUAAAAUGUAAGCUUAUCUACUCUGAUUAUCAAAGAUUAGCCUUUGGGGAUAUGGCAUUAAAUUGUAUAAACAUACACGUGAGGAAUUACCCACAGACCAGAUUAAAUAAGGUCAGGGUCAAAGGGAGCCAAAGAGAAGAUAGGAUGUUACACUGAAUUUUCACUUCAACUACCUCUUGUGUUCAUAUCUCCAUAGGACUCUUAGUCGAGGUUUAAUUUGAUUUGUCUUGUUUUAUUCUGAUUGCUGAAUUUUGAUAUAGA
ensembl:lincRNA